UCUUUCAACAAAAAUCUUUAUCGAAUUUCCUAAGCUUUUGCCUUUUUUCCAAGUCCCAUCAACUUUAAUUUCUCCAACUCUGAAAUUUAUGAUCCAUCCUUUUUCCUUAUUUUUUUUUCACUCACUCCUGAGUUUUUGUUUGUGCACUAGGGGUCGUUUGGUGCACGGUAUAAGGUAAGAUAUCUCCUCACUAAUUUUGAGAUUAAUUUUGUACCAUGUUUGGUAGAAGGUAUAAAUUUAUCUUGGGAUUAAUUUAUACUUUCAACCAAACAGAGUAUAAAAUGAAGUCCAAACUUAAUGGUGGGAUGUCCCACCUUAUCCCAUUGAUCUUGAAAUUAUUUUAUCUCACCUCUCAGAUGGGAUAAAUUAGUCCUACGAUUAUAAUCUCGGGAUAAUUCAGUCUGCGUACCAAAUGACCCCUUAGGUUAAAUUUUCCUAUUAUAAUAGUUAAUUUUUCAUAUCAAGCAUGCAUAUGCAUGACAUGCAGGAGUAAUAUAUUAUAACAGGUUAAAUUGUACUUAUCGGUGUGUUCGGUUUGGAGGAAAAUAUUUUUUUUCAAUUUUCACAUGUUUAUUGUUGGUCAAAGUAUUUUUUUUUUAAAUUCUAGGGGAAAAUAAUCUCCUUAAAAAUCAAGAAAUGACUUCCGAUCCCUAGGAAAAACUAGUUCUAUAAGUGACAUUCCAUGCUAAUUGCUGCCCACCCUUACCCUCGCACCCACCACCACCCCCACCACCCUCAAAACAUCCACCCACCUCCAUCUCAUAGUGUAUACUUAAAUUAUAUAUAAAUUCUCUCGGAUCAGUAUUUCUAUUUCCUUACCGAACACCAGAAUAUAGUAAGAAAACAACUAUUUCUCGUAAAAAUAUAUUCCUUUAUUGCAGCCACAUCCCUAAUGUAAAAAUUUAUGAUGCUCUCAACAUACAUAACUUAAAAAUCUUUUUUCUUUCCUUCCUUCCUAUCUGCUUCCUUUACAAACCACAUUGAUUAGGUGUUUUGUAUCUCUAGUGGGCUCUUGGUGGGGAGGGAUUUUUUUCUCAGAUUAUUACAUGGCAAAUUUGAUCAAAAACUCAAAAAUCUCCACAUUUAAAUCUCAAUCUUUCCUUUUCUUAUGUACCCUUUUCUUCAUUUUCCUCAUCCUUGUUCAUACAUAUCUUCCUCCUCCUUCUAAUGUAACAAUGAAAUUUCACUCAAGAAAGAUCCCGAGAAAUAAUCCUCAGGACUCAUCAUUUACUCAUAGAGAAUUUGAAGUUGGUGAUCAUGAAGUUCCAAGAGGACCAAAUCCUAUAUCAAAUCGUUAAACCCGUUGGAACUAUAUUUGGUUCGUGUCAGACAAGCUACAUACAUGGAAAUAGAAGAAGAUUAGAAGAAAGAAGCUCGAAAAGAAAUAGUUUGGCUUUCAGUCUCAAACCGGUUUAAUGUAAGCGUGUUCGUUAUCAAGUCAAUUCGCAAAACGACACCUUGUCCCCUAUUUUACUGCUGUUAUUGGCAUAGAGUUAGCCAAGACUUCUUCCUCGAGUUAUAUAUGUUGAUGAAGAUUUUGUAAAGGUAAUCACUGAAUGUUUAUAUUUAGUGAUCAUUAAUGCAACUAGUUGUUUUCUUCAAAGGAGUUCAAUUUUGUUAAUCACAUUAUUUCUUGUUAUUGUCA